rnacentral:rRNA from 1 species
GGCAAGCUGUACUUGUACAGCGAAGUGGUUGAUGCCAUGCUUCCAGGAAAAGUCUCUAAGCUUCAGUUACACAGGAAUCGUACCCGAAACCGACACAGGUGGUCAGGUCGAGUAGACCAAGGCGCUUGAGAGAACUCUGCUGAAGGAACUAGGCAAAAUGGUACCGUAACUUCGGGAGAAGGUACGCUGUUGUUGGUGAUGGAACUCGCUUCCUGAGCUGACGACAGCCGCAGAAACCAGGCCGCUGCAACUGUUUAUUAAAAACAUAGCACUCUGCAAACACGAAAGUGGACGUAUAGGGUGUGAUGCCUGCCCGGUGCUGGAAGGUUAAUUGAUGGGGUUAGCGUAAGCGAAGCUCUUGAUCGAAGCCCCAGUAAACGGCGGCCGUAACGAUAACGGUCCUAAGGUAGCGAAAUUCCUUGUCGGGUAAGUUCCGACCUGCACGAAUGGCAUAAUGAUGGCGGCGCUGUCUCCAGCAGAGGCUCAGUGAAAUCGAAAUCGCUGUGAAGAUGCAGUGUACCCGCGGCUAGACGGAAAGACCCCGUGAACCUUUACUGCAGCUUGACACUGAACUUUGACCUUACUUGUGUAGGAUAGGUGGGAGGCUUUGAAGCUGGAACGCUAGUUCCAGUGGAGCCGUCCUUGAAAUACCACCCUGGUAAUGUUGAGGUUCUAACUCUGUCCCGUGAUCCGGGACGAGGACCGUGUCUGGUGGGUAGUUUGACUGGGGCGGUCUCCUCCUAAAGAGUAACGGAGGAGUACGAAGGUGCGCUCAGCGUGGUCGGAAAUCACGCGUAGAGUAUAAAGGCAAAAGCGCGCUUAACUGCGAGACCCACAAGUCGAGCAGGUACGAAAGUAGGUCUUAGUGAUCCGGUGGUUCUGUAUGGAAGGGCCAUCGCUCAACGGAUAAAAGGUACUCUGGGGAUAACAGGCUGAUACCGCCCAAGAGUUCAUAUCGACGGCGGUGUUUGGCACCUCGAUGUCGGCUCAUCUCAUCCUGGGGCUGAAGCAGGUCCCAAGGGUAUGGCUGUUCGCCAUUUAAAGAGGUACGCGAGCUGGGUUUAGAACGUCGUGAGACAGUUCGGUCCCUAUCUACCGUGGGCGCUGGAAAUUUGAGAGGAUCUGCUCCUAGUACGAGAGGACCAGAGUGGACGAACCUCUGGUGUACCGGUUGUGACGCCAGUCGCAUCGCCGGGUAGCUAUGUUCGGAAGGAAUAACCGCUGAAAGCAUCUAAGCGGGAAGCCUACCUCAAGAUAAGAUUUCCCUAGGACUUUAUGUCCUCUAAAGAGCCGUUCGAGACUAGGACGUUGAUAGGUUGGAUGUGGAAGCAUAGUGAUAUGUGAAGCUGACCAAUACUAAUUGCUCGUGAGGCUUGACUA